CUGUUUUCAUGCACUCACACUGGAAACUGCAUCAGGAUGAUGUUGCCAAUAACUCUGCUUGUAGUGUUGGGUUUUCUGAGUCAGGAGUCUUCUGCAAAUAAUUUUUUGACUCAGAGUGACAAAUCCAAGUCUGUUAGUCUUGGAGGGACUGUGGCCAUCAGCGCCACAGGGAGUUCAGACAUUGGUGAUGAUCUCAGUUGGUACCUUCAGAAACCGGGACAGGCUCCGAAACUCCUUAUAUACGAUACAUCAACUCGCUUCUCAGGAACUUCUUCUCGAUUCAGCGGCAGUAGAUCUGGUUCUGACUACACUCUGACCAUCAGCGGUGUUCAGGCUGAAGAUGUUGGAGAUUACUACUGUCUGGGUGCCCAUGGUGGUGGAGUGUUCACACAGUGA